rnacentral:lncRNA from 1 species
UUAUUUAUAUCUAAAACACAACUCUCUUCUCUUCCCCUUUAUUUAUUGUUACUACCUUUUUUUGUUAUUACCCUUCCAAUUACCUUCUCUUUCCUUUAAUUUUCAGCCCCCCAAAUAUUCUCUUCUAUAUCUCUUUUUAUCCUUUUAUCAUUACUUAUACUAUUCCUAAUUCUAAUUAAGCAAAUACUCUCAUUACUUAAUGGUUGCCCUCUACCAAUUAGUUCAAAUUAAAGUUAUUGGGGGCCUACUGGGUAGACUAUUCAGUAAAACCAGAUUUUCUUAUUCUUCUAUUCCUAGAACACCCCUAAAAUAUUGUAUUACCCUAAACGGAAUAUACAUCAAUGUCAAUUCAAACCUAAAACUAACUUUGGUUAAACAACUAAAUUACUACAACUAAAUUAUCCAAUCUCUGGAACAACUGAAACUGAAUUUAAGCCUAAGUCUAAUUCAUAUCAGACCCCAAACUCAACAGAGCAAUCAAUCAGGCAAGUCAGUAGACUUAACAGAAUUGAAUCCAAACUAUAUCAAAUGGUAUCACAAUUACAGGGGAAUAGUUGAUUGUAUCCACAACUCUAAACUAAAAGGAACUGAAUAAAAUAAUGUAACAUACUUGGACAAAAAUAAGCUUUAUUGAUGUACAUAACGACGAACAACAAAAUAUGGAAUCAAACAUCACAGAAAAUGAGACCAUUUGAAUCAGUAAUACUAGUGACUCAUUACAGGAUAUGAUACAGUUUUGUACAUAAACAUUACGGAUACUAACUUUUACAACAAAACUGAAGGACAAAUAUAUUCAAUCGAUUUAAUAUAUGCUAGUCAACCACAUGAGAAAACUGGACCAGAAAAAAAAUCUGAAAGAGAAGAAAGAAAUAAAUUGAAAAUAUGAUAAGAUAUAAUCAAUUUUAGACAGAUAAAUGACAACAAAAUUAUAAAAGAAAACGAAAAAUACCUCAAAAUUACACCCCAAACUCCAAACAGUUCCCCUUCCAAACACUGACUUGAACUCUUACUUCGGAUGUUAGAUUGGAAUGAACCUUAGUCGAAUGUUCUCAACUGAGAACAUACGACGACGAUUGAUUACAACCUCAACCUGCCCAACUCGUACCAGAAUAGGAUUUAGAAGUGUUUUUCAGGGCUUAUCUUGGAUUCGAAAUUCGAGAUGCUCGACUGAAAUUCGAAGGAAUCCACUUACUGUUCAGGGAUGAGGGGGUCGGGUGGAGCUGGGGAGUGAACUUGGAGGCGUUUGGGUGAACUAGGGUUAGGGGUCAGUUCUUUAAUCUAAAAUUCGAAGAACACGGGGAUGAUUCAAAGACGAUGGAGGGUGGAUUUGGAUUGGGGGUGGUGAGGAGGUUAAGGGGGGUUAGUUUGGUGGUGGUCGGAUACGGGGCCUCGAAGGAAUCCACUUACUGUUCAGGGAUGAGGGGGUCGGGUGGAGCUGGGGAGUGAACUUGGAGGCGUUUGGGUGAACUAGGGUUAGGGGUCAGUUCUUUAAUCUAAAAUUCGAAGAACACGGGGAUGAUUCAAAGACGAUGGAGGGUGGAUUUGGAUUGGGGGUGGUGAGGAGGUUAAGGGGUGUUAGUUUGGUGGUGGUCGGAUACGGGGCCACCGAGUUUUUUAGGCGUAGGGUGACAUGGCGGCUAGGGUUUGGUGAGGGAGAUGGUCUUUCUCUUGAGAGAGACGAUGAGAAUGAGUGAGGUGGCUAUGGAGGGGGAAGGGUGUGGUUAGGGAUAUAUACUAGAGGGAAGAUCGAAUCCAAACUGUUGGAUCAUAUGAG